GAUGAACGCUGGCGGCGUGCCUAAUACAUGCAAGUCGAGCGAACGGACGAGAAGCUUGCUUCUCUGAUGUUAGCGGCGGACGGGUGAGUAACACGUGGAUAACCUACCUAUAAGACUGGGAUAACUUCGGGAAACCGGAGCUAAUACCGGAUGAUAUUUUGAACCGCAUGGUUCAAAAGUGAAAGACGGUCUUGCUGUCACUUAUAGAUGGAUCCGCGCUGCAUUAGCUAGUUGGUAAGGUAACGGCUUACCAAGGCAACGAUGCAUAGCCGACCUGAGAGGGUGAUCGGCCACACUGGAACUGAGACACGGUCCAGACUCCUACGGGAGGCAGCAGUAGGGAAUCUUCCGCACUGGGCGAACGCCUGACGGAGCAACGCCGCGUGAGUGAUGAAGGUCUUCGGAUCGUAAAACUCUGUUAUUAGGGAAGAACAUAUGUGUAAGUAACUGUGCACAUCUUGACGGUACCUAAUCAGAAAGCCACGGCUAACUACGUG
rnacentral:rRNA from 1 species